GGCUGAAUUUCCCUUUCACUUUAAACUCACGGGAAAGUCUCCUGCUUUUCUGCCCUUUGGGCAAGUUCUCACUUACGCGGCCAUGGUCCGGGAGGUGCCGCAGGCCCUAAGGGAGACCAGGGUAUUGCAGGUUCCGACGGUCUUCCUGGGGAUAAAGGAGAACUGGGUCCCAGCGGCCUGGUCGGACCCAAAGGAGAGGUGAGUGCCUGGCGACUGUUCCGAUGACACCAUCCAUGGGUGCCUGCUGGCUUCCUGCCCACCUCUGGGCAACCAGGCGGCCCUGCAGGGCACUGCCCAGAUCUGAGAUGUAAAAAAGCUUGCUCUGGUCAAGGCUGGGCAAGACGGCUCCGUGCCGGCCAGGAAAGAGCACGUCGGGGUGGCUCUGGGCUCCUGGGCUCGCCCCUGACCCACCUUCCUCUGUUUCUCUGCAGUCUGGCAGUCGAGGGGAGCUGGGCCCCAAAGGCACCCAGGGUCCCAACGGCACCAGCGGUGUUCA
rnacentral:sRNA from 1 species